UACGGGGGGAGCAAGCGUUGUUCGGAUUUACUGGGCGUAAAGGGCGCGUAGGCGGCCACCGCAAGUCGACUGUGAAAUCUCCGGGCUUAACCCGGAAAGGUCAGCCGAUACUGCGGGGCUAGAGUGCAGAAGGGGCAACUGGAAUUCGUCGGUGUAGCGGUGAAAUGCGUAGAUAAUCGAGAGGAACACCUGCGGCGAAGGCGGGAUUGCUGGGCUGAC
rnacentral:rRNA from 1 species